rnacentral:other from 5 species
UGUCUUCAGGACGAAGAACACAGGGACUGCUUAGGACGAGUGAAGGGACGUUUCAGGAUGAAACAAGGGACACCUCCAGGAUGGAGAUUGAGAGCCAGUUCAGGAUGAUUGGUGGGUUAGGAUAGCCUAAGGAUUAACGCCGGGAUGGUGUAUAACAUUGCGAUGGAUUGCUGGUUAGUAUAACCAUACGGAAAAGUUUUCAGGGAUUGAGCAGGGAGCAUCAAUUUUAGCUGGAUUGCUAUAAAACGAAUUGAGGGGUACUGGUAAAACAGUACCCCUUUU